GCCGAGUUCUUUUUGAAUAAGGCCCACAGUGUUGUGCGGGAGGCGUUCCUAUGGGCGCUGCACUCGACCCGUUCGGGGUCCACUGUAACAAUCGCAUCUCAAGGGCUGCCAAUUCGCCUAUAAGCACCAUCCUACCUCGCACUUCCAACGAAACAAGUAAUGAAGGAUACUAACGACCAAAGGGAACGAUAGAAUUGCGGUGGGACCAUAUGAGUUCCAGCAUCCUUGCCAGGCGUUCAGGUUCCCACUUCAUAGCGUCCUUCAUAUGCUCGAAGCGUGGGAAACCCAUAUCAGAUCUGAUUUUGUUGUACACCGAACAGUCCAUCAAAAUGUGCUGCUCGUCCUCGAUAUGGCUAUCGG
rnacentral:lncRNA from 1 species